CUUCACCGACCCCAGCCACAACGGCCGCUCACGACCCUGACCGUAGGUGGCCAACAACGCCUGCGCCUC
rnacentral:antisense_RNA from 1 species